GCCUACGGGGCGCAGCGGUAGGGAAUCUUCCACAAUGGGCGAAAGCCUGAUGGAGCAACGCCGCGUGGGUGAAGAAGGUCUUCGGAUCGUAAAACCCUGUUGUUAGAGAAGAAAGUGCGUGAGAGUAACUGUUCACGUUUCGACGGUAUCUAACCAGAAAGCCACGGCUAACUACGUGCCAGCAGCCGCGGUAAUACGUAGGUGGCAAGCGUUAUCCGGAUUUAUUGGGCGUAAAGAGAACGCAGGCGGUCUUUUAAGUCUGAUGUGAAAGCCUUCGGCUUAACCGGAGUAGUGCAUUGGAAACU
rnacentral:rRNA from 1 species